rnacentral:rRNA from 1 species
UUAGUAACGGCGAGUGAACCGGGAUCAGUCCAGCGCUAAAUCUCGGCGUUUCGGCGCCGCGACAUGUAGCGUAUAGGCGGUGUGCUUGACCAUGGCCCUGGGCACAAGUUUCCCAUGACCGGGGCGCCAGAGAAGGUGAUAGACCUGUAGCGUCCGGGGCCUAGGUUGACUGCUCUGUCUUGGAGUCGGGUUGUCUGGGAUUGCAGCCCAAAGUAGGUGGUAUACUUCAUCUAAGACUAAAUAUGCCUACGAGACCGAUAGCGAAAAAGUACCGUGAGGGAAAGUUGCAAAGCACUUUGAAGAGAGAGUUAAAGAGGACGUGAAACCGGUAGGAUGGAAACGGAUAGAGCCAGCGAAGUCGCUCGUAUUCAACCAAAGGCUGGGGGCAUCGGUUUGUCGGGUUACUAAUCGUGCCUGGCUUGCCUUUUUGUCCUCAGUUGAGGUGCAUUUGCGGGCGUUUGCGCUGAGACUUGCGGGUCAGCUUCUGGACCUGGGCCUAGAGGCCGUCCUCUGGGCGGAACUUGGGCACGGUGACGGUUGUUUGGCCUGCUCGUACAACGGCUUGGCCUACGGACUGCGGCGCUGCCGUUGCUCUCUUGUGGUGUCAUCGCUUGCGAUGGCCUGCUUGGGGGUAGCGGUUGUGUUGUUUGUUCCCAAGUCGGCUCUCGGUGUAAAAGCUGGUCACCUAUCCGACCCGUCUUGAAACACGGACCAAGGAGUUUAGCGUAUACGCGAGCCAUUGGGUGUUAAAACUCACAGGCGUAAUGAAAGUAAAGGCCCAGCCGCUGGGCUGACAUGCGAGUUUGCGGGCCUCGGCCUUCAGAUGCAGCAUGGUCCCGUUUCAGCCGCUUGCGGCGGAGCGGAGACAGAGCGUAUGCGCUGAGACCCGAAAGAUGGUGAACUAUUCCUGAGCAGGAUGAAGCCAGAGGAAACUCUGGUGGAAGUCCGAAGCGAUUCUGACGUGCAAAUCGAUCGUCUGACUUGGGUAUAGGGGCGAAAGACUAAUCGA